UUAGUGGCGCAAGGGUGAGUAACGCGUGGGUAUCUACCUAAGAGACUGGGAUAACAAAUGGAAACGUUUGCUAAUACCGGAUUAAAUGUAAGAUGAAAUAAGUCGUAUAUUAAAAGAAGCCUCAGAGCUUCGCUUUUAGAUGAGCCUGCGUCGCAUUAGCUAGUUGGUGGGGUAAAGGCCUACCAAGGCGACGAUGCGUAGCCGACUCGAGAGGGUGAUCGGCCACAUUGGGACUGAGACACGGCCCAAACUCCUACGGGAGACAGCAGUUAGGAAUAUUCGUCAAUGGGGGAAACCCUGAACGAGCGAUGCCGCGUGAGUGAUGACGGUCCUUUGGAUUGUAAAACUCUGUUGUUAGGGAAGAAAUGAUUGUAUAGGAAAUGAUACAAUUUUGACGGUACCUUUCAAGAAAGCUCCGGCUAACUACGUGCCAGCAGCCGCGGUAAUACGUAGGGAGCGAGCGUUAUCCGGAUUUAUUGGGUGUAAAGCGUGUGUAGGCGGUUUUAUAAGUCUAGGGUCUAAGCCCGGAGCUCAACUCCGGUUCGCCUUGGAAACUGUAAGACUUGAGUUUGGUAGAGGUAAAUGGAAUUUCUAGUGUAGCGGUGAAAUGCGUAGAUAUUAGAAGGAACACCAGUGGCGAAGGCGAUUUACUGGGCCAACACUGACGCUGAGACACGAAAGCGUGGGUAGCAAAUAGGAUUAGAUACCCUAGUAGUCCACGCUGUAAACGAUGGAUACUAAGUGUCGGGAAACCGGUGCUGAA
rnacentral:rRNA from 1 species